UACGUAGGGUGCAAGCGUUUAAUCGGAAUUACUGGGCGUAAAGCGUGCGCAGGCGGUUAUGCAAGACAGAUGUGAAAUCCCCGGGCUCAACCUGGGAACUGCAUUUGUGACUGCAUAGCUAGAGUACGGUAGAGGGGGAUGGAAUUCCGCGUGUAGCAGUGAAAUGCGUAGAUAUGCGGAGGAACACCGACGGCGAAGGCAGCCUUCUGGGAAAGUAACCUGACGCUGAGGGGCGAAAGCUAGGGGAGCGAACGGG
rnacentral:rRNA from 1 species